AUUGAACGCUGGCGGCAGGCCUAACACAUGCAAGUCGAGCGGAUGAAGGGAGCUUUCUCCUGGAUUCAGCGGCGGACGGGUGAGUAAUGCCUAGGAAUCUGCCUGGUAGUGGGGGAUAACGUCCGUAAACGGGCGCUAAUACCGCAUACGUCCUGAGGGAGAAAGUGGUGGAUCUUCGGACCUCACGCUAUCAGAUGAGCCUAGGUCGGAUUAGCUAGUUGGUGGGGUAAAGGCCUACCAAGGCGACGAUCCGUAACUGGUCUGAGAGGAUGAUCAGUCACAUUGGAACUGAGACACGGUCCAGCCUCCUACGGGAGGCAGCAGUGGGGAAUAUUGGACAAUGGGCGAAAGCCUGAUCCAGCCAUGCCGCGUGUGUGAAGAAGGUCUUCGGAUUGUAAAGCACUUUAAGUUGGGAGGAAGGGCAGUAAGUUAAUACCUUGCUGUUUUGACGUUACCAACAGAAUAAGCACCGGCUAACUUCGUG
rnacentral:rRNA from 1 species